rnacentral:rRNA from 1 species
GUGCCAGCAGCCGCGGUAAUACAGAGGCCCCAAGCAUUAUCCGGAAUCACUGGGCGUAAAGGGUGUCAAGGCGGUUAUGUUAGUCGUUCGUUAAAUCCGUGGGCUCAACCUACGGUCUGCGAGCGAAACGGCAUAACUAGAGGUAGGGAGAGGUGCGUGGAACUCACGGUGUAGGGGUGAAAUCCGUUGAUAUCGUGGGGAACACCAAAGGCGAAGGCAGCGCACUGGCCCUAAUCUGACGCUCACACACGAAAGCCAGGGUAGCGAACGGGAUUAGAUACCCCGGUAGUCC